rnacentral:tRNA from 1 species
GCCUUAAUAGCUCAGUCGGUAGAGCACGCGGCUGUUAACCGCGGAGUCGUAGGUUCGAGUCCUACUUGAGGCGCCA